ACCAAUAGUAUCCUGAGAAUAC
rnacentral:siRNA from 1 species